rnacentral:rRNA from 1 species
UACGAAGGGGGCUAGCGUUGUUCGGAUUUACUGGGCGUAAAGCGCACGUAGGCGGAUUGUUAAGUCAGGGGUGAAAUCCUGGAGCUCAACUCCAGAACUGCCUUUGAUACUGGCAAUCUUGAGUCGGAAGAGGUGAGUGGAACUCCUAGUGUAGAGGUGGAAUUCGUAGAUAUUAGGAAGAACACCCGUGGCGAAGGCGGCUCUCUGGGACGGUACUGACGCUGAGACGCGAAAGCGUGGGGAGCGAA